GGGGUUGUACCUCAAUUGGUAGAGGUCACGCCUUUUAAGCGAUGAAGUUGCAGGUUCGAGUCCUGUCAGCCCCA
rnacentral:tRNA from 1 species